GUGCGCGCUUCGGCAGCACAUAUACUAAAAUCGGAACAAUACAGACAUUAGCAUGGCCUCUGCUCAAGGAUGACACAAAUUUGUGAAGCGUUCUAUAUUAAA
ensembl:snRNA U6 U6 spliceosomal RNA